GCCGCUCCCGGUUGAGCAGUGCAUUAAUUUCUUUGUAAUUGUCAUGUUCCGAAUCGACAGCCGCUCGCAUCACCAAAGAACCAGACGAAACUGAAACGUUUUCAUUUGUUGCAUGCGCACAAGGACUGAGCGGACUUAUGAAUACACAGCCCGAAGCGUACCGUGGUAAAGCCGAAAUGUUCGCGCCAGCCAGUUAGCUACGGAUUUUUUCCCAGAUCCAGGACGCCCAAUAAAAAGCAGUCGAUGCAUGUACGGACGACGCUGAAUAGACUGAAGAGAGGAAAAUUGCAGGGCUGAAAUUAUCAUAUUAUACUAGCGGGAAAUCAACAUGGCUUGCCUUCAUUAAAUACUGCACCGAUAGACUGAUCGGCGUUGAUCACGAUACAACUCGGAUCGCCGUAGGCCAAUGUCGAACAGCUUUUGGAAAUCAGAAUGGACUCAUAUGCAAACUCUUGCAUA